rnacentral:lncRNA from 1 species
GCCGGCCCCAGUCCCCAUGGGCUGAAGGCAGGUUGAGUUCUUCCCCAGGUCUGCGAGCCUCGAAGGCUUCUUUCAGACAGCAGACCCCUUAGAAGCGCAAGGCUGCUUUCUGACAAAGAAUCAAGUGUUCCUUUCAACCAGCCAAGGGACUGGUUUUCUCGCUGACCCUUUGACAGCUCCAGCCGGUCCCUCCAUUCGAGGUCCCUGACUUCCUGCAACAGACUGAGAUGGCCUUCUGAGCUUUUCCAGGGCUGACGACCACCUUCUUGAUACCUUCCCCUCUCUCGUUCUGAAUCCGUGCCCACCAGACGGACUCUGGCUCUUGUUGCCCAGACUGGGGUGCAAUGGCGCAAUCUUGGCUCACCAUAACCUCCGCCUCCUGGGUUCAAGCGAUUCUCCUGCGUCAGCCUCCCAAGUAGGUGGGAUUACAGGCAUGCGCCACCUCGCCUGGCUAAUUUUGUAUUUUUAGUAGAGACCGGGUUUCUCCACGUUCAUCAGGCUGGUCUCAAAUUCCUUCACCUCCCAAAGUGCUGGGAUUACAGGUGUGAGCCACUGUGCACAGCCUAAUGCAGAUUUUAUAAACAAUAACCUUGUCCAUUAAAGCAAACCUGCAGACUCGAGGUCUGAUAAACCUGGAGGUUGGAUAAUUCAAGUGUAGCACAGUCAUGCCAUGGAAUAUUACACACCAGAGAAAAGAAGACACGACGCCAUUUUUAGAAAGCUCAAAACAAGUGAAACCAAACGAUAUCGUGUAUAGCAGGGGUCCUCAACCCCUGGACCACAGACUGGUACUGGCUAGUGGCCCAUUAGGAACCAGGCCGCACAGCAGGAGGUGAGUCGUGGGUGAGCAAGCGAAACUUCACCUGUAUUUACAACUGCUCCCCAUGGCUCACAGUACUGCCUGAGCUCCGCCUCCUGUCAGAUCAGCGGCAGCAUUAGAGUCUCAUAGGAGCACAAACCCUGCUGUGAACUAUGCAUGUGAGGGAUCUAGGUUGCACACUCCUUAUGAGAAUCUAAUGCCUGUCUCUUAUCACCCCCAGAUGGGGCCGUCUAGUUGCAGGAAAACAAGCUCAGGGCUCCCACUGAUUCUACAUGAUGGGAAUCCAGGCUUUCGGAGAUGAGGACUGGGAGGUCUCCAGACCACACAAGCCCCCUAUUUGCACUGGCCUUUGGAAUGAGCCUACAGCCUGCCUCCACUCCUCCUGGUACCCCAGCUGUUCUCAAGGAAUUGGCCAGAAGUCAGACUCCUUUCCCAGCUGUCCUCCACUUCUUUCCUGCCAGGCACCCUAGGCCCCAUGGUGGGAUUGGGCCUAUAGGCUGUGAUUUUCCACAUCCUUGUCAAACCUGUACUACCUGAAUGCCUAGAGGAAAAGAUACUGCCUUAAUUACUAUUAUGAGCACGAAUGCCUUCUUACUCUUGAAUUUAGCUGAGUGCUGCCUGCAGGUAAAGUCACCUGGAGAACCAUCCAGGGACUUUGUCCUCAUAGGAUCACUUGUACCUCUCUAGGGUUGCUGUGGCAGCUGCCAGAGUGGCCCGGGCCAUGGAUGAGGGCCAGGAUAUGGAAAGCAGAGGCAGAAAUGAGCCCAGAGGCCACAGGGCCCAGCUCUCAGGCUCCCACGGUGAAGCCCAGAGGGUUCCUUCUCUCUCCUGCUUCAGGCUGACAAUGUUUGUCAGCCUCUGCUCCCAACCCCUAUACCCAGCAACCUCUGCGCCCAAGCACAUGGUCUGAAGAAUAUUCUGGUGUUGGGCCCCUGUAGGUGGCCUGCCGUGACGGUGGAAGCCUGGAACGUAGUGACAUGGAUUCAUCAUUGGGAUGUUUCAUCCUAAGGAAACGCACUCGCAGGUGGCUGUAGACCUUGGGGACUCCAGCCUCGUUCAUUUAAGCUCCCACAAUGUUCCAGGCCCUAUGCGGCUUGCAAGGGGCAGAGAGACACAGAAUGACAGCCGACAUGGCACUCUAUUGGUGCACUGGCACUGUUUUUUUUUUUGAGAUGGAGUCUUGCUCUGUCACCCAGGCUGGAGUGCAGUGGCAUGAUGGAGAUGCAACCUCUACCUCAUGGGUUCAAGCGAUUCUCCUGCCUCA